rnacentral:rRNA from 1 species
AGCUACUCCAAAGCAACCUCACAGGGCCAACCCGUCUCUGUAGCAAAAGAGUGGGAAGACUUUAGAGUAGAGGCGAUAAACCUAUCGAGCUUAGAGAUAGCUGGUUAUUCAAGAAAAGGAUCUUAGUCCACCUUUAAGUUUUUUAAGUCCCUCAAACACCCUCAAACACCCCCUAAACUUAAAAGCCAUUCAAACAAGGUACAGCCUGUUUGAAAAAGGAAACAGCCUCCAAUAUAGGGUAUUGGUUUACCUUAUGUGACCAAGUUGGCCUAAAAGCAGCCACCUUACAAAUAGCGUCCAAGCUUCAUCACAAACCUUCAUAAAUUCCAAAAUUAACCCCUAACCCACAACCACUACUGAAUUUCCCUAUAUUCAUAUAGGUAAUAUCAUGCUAGAACUAGUAAAAAGAAGAAGACCUUCUCCAAAAUGUAAACGUAAGCCAAAAUGAACACUCACCGGCAACUACCGCCAUAAACCUGCAGUACUAACGUUACAAGAAAAUUAUACUCCGAUUGGCGUCAACCUUACACUAGAGCAUUUCUGGAAAGAUUAAAAGGGGGGGAAGGAACUCG